AUUGAACGCUGGCGGCAGGCCUAACACAUGCAAGUCGAGCGGAUGAAGGGAGCUUGCUCCUGGAUUCAGCGGCGGACGGGUGAGUAAUGCCUAGGAAUCUGCCUGGUAGUGGGGGAUAACGUCCGGAAACGGGCGCUAAUACCGCAUACGUCCUGAGGGAGAAAGUGGGGGAUCUUCGGACCUCACGCUAUCAGAUGAGCCUAGGUCGGAUUAGCUAGUUGGUGGGGUAAAGGCCUACCAAGGCGACGAUCCGUAACUGGGCUGAGAGGAUGAGCAGUCACCCUGGACCUAAGCACCGUCCCGGGCCCCUCCGGGGGGCAGGAGUGGGAAGUGUUGGACCAGGGGGGAAAGCCUCACCCAGCCCUGCCGCGUGUUGGAAGAAGGCCUGCGGUUUGUAAACCCCUUUAAGUUGGGAAGAAGGGAAGAAAGUUAAUACCUUGCUUUUUGACCGUACCCAAAAAAAAAACCCCCGCCUAAUUCCUU
rnacentral:rRNA from 1 species